UACGUAGGGUGCAGGCGUUAAUCGGAAUUACUGGGCGUAAAGCGUGCGCAGGCGGUUUCUUAAGUCAGAUGUGAAAGCCCCGGGCUUAACCUGGGAACUGCGUUUGAAACUGGGAGACUUGAGUGUGGCAGAGGGGGGUGGAAUUCCGACGUGUAGCAGUGAAAUGCGUAGAUAUGUGGAGGAACACCGAUGGCGAAGGCAAUCCCCUGGGCCUGCACUGACGCUCAUGCACGAAAGCGUGGGGAGCAAACAGG
rnacentral:rRNA from 1 species